UCCCUACGGGGGGCAGCAGUCGGGAAUAUUGCGCAAUGGAGGAAACUCUGACGCAGUGACGCCGCGUAUAGGAAGAAGGUUUUCGGAUUGUAAACUAUUGUCGUUAGGGAAGAUAAAAGACUGUACCUAAGGAGGAAGCCCCGGCUAACUAUGUGCCAGCAGCCGCGGUAAUACGUAGGGGGCAAGCGUUAUCCGGAUUUACUGGGUGUAAAGGGAGCGUAGACGGCUGUGCAAGUCUGAAGUGAAAUGCCGGGGCCCAACCCCGGAACUGCUUUGGAAACUGUACAGCUAGAGUGCAGGAGGGG
rnacentral:rRNA from 1 species